UCAAACUCUCAAUAAAGAAAAAUUGUUUUUCUUGUACCUGUUGAUCGGAGAGUGGGCUGAGGGAGUGGGAACUAGAAAAGUAUAUGUCGUUAUGUGGCAGUAAGAGAAAGGGUGGUAGCAUGGUGCUUAGCUGGUUGGAUUAAUUUUUUUGGGUCUGUAAAUGUGUGAGUUCUUUACGAGUUCGGGUGGAUAGCAACAGAGAUGGAAAUAUCACGAGAGACAGAGUUCAAGAUGUAAGAUUAUCAUAUUAUAUUUGUCCAAUAUCCAUUAGCUAGAUCAAUAUUGGUGUCCUUUUUUCGCUUUCUUUGUUGGUAGAUUAGUAUGAAAAAAAAAAAAUUAAUGUAUGAAGGCACCAUCAAAGAAUGGUCACCUGAUUUAGAAGAAAGACUUCAUUUUUGACUUAAGAGGGGCAAACUUAGCAAGGAAAACAAGUUUUUCAUUUGCAGAUGAGGAGAUAAAAUCCUAUGUUCACACAGAUAUACUCCAAC